AAUGUUAAGGCAUAGUGAUGAGGUAAAGCGGAUGUUGAGGCGUUGUGAUGAGGUAAAGUGAUUGUUGAGGCGUCAUGAUGAGGUAAAGCGGAUGUUGAGGCGUUGUGAUGAGGUAAAGAGAACGUUGCGGUGUAGUGAUGAGGUAAAGUGAUUGUUGAGGUGUCGUGAUGAGGUAAAGUGAUUGUUGAGGCGUCAUGAUGAGGUAAAGCGAAUGUUGAGGCAUCGUGACGAGGUAAAGGGGACGUUGAGGUGUCGUGAAGAGGUAAGUGUUUGUUGAGGCAUCGUGAUGAGGUAAAAGGGACGUUGAAGUGUCCUGAAGAGGUAAAGUAAUUGUUGAGGUGUUGUGAUGAGGUAAAUUGAUUAUUGAGGCAUCGUGAUGAGGUAAAGAGAACGUUGCUGUGUAGUGAUGAGAUAAAGUGAUUGUUGAGGUGUCUUGAUGAGGUAAAGAGAACGUUGCUGUGUAGUGAUGAGAUAAAGUGAUUGUUGAGGUGUCUUGAUGAGGUAAAGUGAUUGUUGAGGUGUCGUGAUGAGGUAAAGUGAUUGUUGAGGUGUCGUGAUGAGGUAAAGUGAUUGUUGAGGUGUCGUGAUGAGGUAAAGUGAUUGUUGAGGCGUUGUGAUGAGGUAAAGCGAAUGUUGAGGAGUGACAAGGUAAAGAGAAUGUUCAGGCGUCGUGAUGAGGUAAAGGGGAUGUUGAGGUGUCUUGAAGAGGUAAAGUAAUUGUUGAGGCGUCGUAAUGAGGUAAUGAGAAUGUUAAUGGGUAGUGAUGAGGUAAAGUGAUUGUUGAGGCGUCAUGAUGAGGUAAAGCGGAUGUUGAGGCGUUGUGAUGAGGUAAAGAGAACGUUGCGGUGUAGUGAUGAGGUAAAGUGAUUGUUGAGGUGUCGUGAUGAGGUAAAGUGAUUGUUGAGGCGUCAUGAUGAGGUAAAGCGAAUGUUGAGGCAUCGUGACGAGGUAAAGGGGACGUUGAGGUGUCGUGAAGAGGUAAGUGUUUGUUGAGGCAUCGUGAUGAGGUAAAAGGGACGUUGAAGUGUCCUGAAGAGGUAAAGUAAUUGUUGAGGUGUCGUGAUGAGGUAAUGAGAAUGUUAAGGGGUAGUGAUGAGGUAAAGUGGAUGAUGAGAUGUCUUGAUGAGGUAAAGCGAUUGUUGAGGCGUUGUGAUGAGAUAAAGGGGACAUUGAGGUUUCGAGAUGAAGUAAAUGUGACGUCGAGGCAUCAUGUUGAGGUAAAGUAAUUGUUGAGGUGUUGUGAUGAGGUAAAAGGGGUAUUGAGUCAUCGUGAUGAGGUGAAGUUGGUGUUGAGGUGUCAUGAUGAGGUAAAAGGGGAAUUGAGUAAUUGUGAUGAGGUAAAGAGGAGGUUGAGGCAUUGUGACAAUGUAAAGUGG